AUACAGAGGGUGCGAGCGUUAAUCGGAAUUACUGGGCGUAAAGCGCGCGUAGGCGGCUUAUUAAGUCAGAUGUGAAAUCCCCGGGCUCAACCUGGGAACUGCAUCUGAUACUGGUAAGCUAGAGUUUGGGAGAGGGAAGUAGAAUUUCAGGUGUAGAGGUGAAAUGCCUAGAGAUCCGAAGGAAUACCAGUGGCGAAGGCGACUUCCUGGCCUAAAACUGACGCUGAGGUGCGAAAGCGUGGGUAGCAAACGGGAUUAGAAACCCCGGUAGUCC
rnacentral:rRNA from 1 species